AUUGAACGCUGGCGGCAGGCUUAACACAUGCAAGUCGAGCGGGGUGAUGGUGCUUGCACUAUCACUUAGCGGCGGACGGGUGAGUAAUGCUUAGGAAUCUGCCUAUUAGUGGGGGACAACAUUUCGAAAGGAAUGCUAAUACCGCAUACGUCCUACGGGAGAAAGCAGGGGAUCUUCGGACCUUGCGCUAAUAGGUGAGCCUAAGUCGGAUUAGCUAGUUGGUGGGGUAAAGGCCUACCAAGGCGACGAUCUGUAGCGGGUCUGAGAGGAUGAUCCGCCACACUGGGACUGAGACACGGCCCAGACUCCUACGGGAGGCAGCAGUGGGGAAUAUUGGACAAUGGGCGGAAGCCUGAUCCAGCCAUGCCGCGUGUGUGAAGAAGGCCUUAUGGUUGUAAAGCACUUUAAGCGAGGAGGAGGCUACUUUAGUUAAUACCUAGAGAUAGUGGACGUUACUCGCAGAAUAAGCACCGGCUAACUCUGUGCCAGCCGCCGCAGUAAGAC
rnacentral:rRNA from 1 species